UAGUGGUGCACAUGGACACCCCGGGGAGGACCGCUAUCAGUGAUGCACAUGGACACCCACAGGAGGACCUGGGAGUAAACGUUUCAUACCCGAAAGUUGAGACCACUGACCCCUUCCCUGGGAAAGUGGAGGGCAGUACAUGGAGUCCUUGCCCAGGGGCAGAAACACCUGAAGUUCCCAGCAGGGCAGUCCCAGUAGGUGUCUGUAGGAACUUCUGCAACACUUCAUGGAGGGAAGGGAACUCGAAGGCUGUCUAACCAACCUCGUCUAGCCUACCUCAUAUACCUGGGAAGUGGCCAGCCAGAGAAGCAUGCAUGAGAACUCAGUGUGGACAGAUAUCAGCAUUCUAUGGCCAGCCAGCUUCUUCUUGUUCCUGGUUGUUCCUGAUGAAUUUUCCAUCCAAUCUGAGCAGGGAAGGAGGUCAAUUAGGGAGGUUUAGCAUCAGGACCCAGAAACACAGAAGGCCAAAGUUAGGACGAGAGCGAAAAGAAGAAAACUGGUUUCACCCAAAGCUCAAGGGAGAGAGACUAAAUAACAGAGAACACGUGUCCUAGAUUUUCUGAAGCCUUGCUCAGUGCAGUGUUCUCAUCUUAAAAUGCUGUUAAAUUGAGGAGUGAUAACACAUUUAGAGCAACUGGGAUUGCACCUAGACCCCACAACACGGUCAGCAAACAGAAAAGACUGCUAUCAUCAGCCGCAAUCUCAUUCAGAUUGUAAGGUCUUGGAGACUGUGCAGGAAAGCAUCCAGCUUUUGACCUUCAGAAAAAUCCUCUACCACCCUAGCCAGCCAACUGAGGAGGGCACAAGAAGUUCAAAGGGAGGAUGCUUGCAUCUCCAUAGGGGUCACUGGAGUGAACAUUCUGGAAGAAAACUAAAAAGCCUCCUUUCUAGAAGACCAGGGUCCUUUGGGCCGCGAGCUUGGAUUGGAGAGUCUAGGGUCCCUGUACUCCUCUGGCCUUGACGGAAGCCAGUGUCUCCCCUUCUAAGUGUGCCUGUGCCACUUUGCUUCUGAAGCACACAUUAUUUCCAAGGGCUCCGGAAUUUACAGUAGUUUUAUUGUAAUUUGGUCUCCAAUCUUUGGGUCCUAAAAAAUAAAAUUACUUUUAUGUGAAAGCUCAA